CCCAAAGCUUAUUUCAUCGUGGUUGGCAAUCACGAGUAGAGCGUAAAGGUAUAAAAUAGGUUGACUGCAAGACUUACAAGUCGAGCAGAGACGAAAGUCGGGCUUAGU
rnacentral:sRNA from 1 species